rnacentral:misc_RNA from 1 species
AGGAGCAGGAGAGGUUGCAAUCCUGGGAUCUGGAGUAGCUUCCCUUCUAAAAGUCAAGUGAGGUUUUGUAGAAAUACAGUCGUCACAUAAAAGAUUGCAUAUAUCAGUUAAUAAAGGCUCAUAAAAGACUCGUUCUUUUCUUAAAGCAUUGUUCAACUUCCAAAUGCCCAAAGCAGUAGAAGGGAUUUCCCUCCUCUUCCUUAAUAUAUCACUAGAAUUUUCAAGUGCCUUCUUCAUAAACUUAUUA